rnacentral:tRNA from 1 species
GGAGGGGUGGCUGAGCGGUCUAAAGCAACAGGUUGCUAACCUGUGGCCGAGAAAUCGGCCCCGUGGGUUCAAAUCCCACCCCCUCCG